CAUCCCGACUUACCAACCCGAUGCAAACUGCGAAUACCGGAGAAUGUUAUCACGGGAGACACACGGCGGGUGCUAACGUUCGUCGUGAAGAGGGAAACAACCCAGACCGCCGGCUAAGGUCCCAAAGUCAUAAUUAAGUGGGAAACGAAGUGGGAAGGCUCAGACAGCCAGGAUGUUGGCUUAGAAGCAGCCAUCAUUUAAAGAAAGCGUAAUAGCUCACUGGUCGAGUCGGCCUGCGCGGAAGAUGUAACGGGGCUAAAUUAUGCACCGAAGCCGCGGCAGCGAUAUGUAAAUAUUGUUGGGUAGGGGAGCGUUCUGUAAGCCUGUGAAGGUGGCCUGUGAGGGCUGCUGGAGGUAUCAGAAGUGCGAAUGCUGACAUAAGUAACGAUAAUGCGGGUGAAAAACCCGCACGCCGGAAGACCAAGGGUUCCUGUCCAACGUUAAUCGGGGCAGGGUGAGUCGACCCCUAAGGCGAGGCUGAAAAGCGUAGUCGAUGGGCAACGGGUUAAUAUUCCCGUACUGGUGGUAACUGCGAAGGGGGGACGGAGAAAGCUAAAUCAUCCGGGCGACGGUUGUCCCGGU
rnacentral:rRNA from 1 species